rnacentral:tRNA from 1 species
CCACCGAUGGUGUAAGGCGUAGCAUUGCUGCCCGAAAAGCAGAAGCCGCGGGUUCGAAUCCGGCCUGGUGCA